AAGUCGUAACAAGGUUUCCGUAGAUGAAUCUGCGGAAGGAUCAUUAAUAUAACAAAAUUAUUUGCAUAUAUUAUUUAUAAAAAGUAUUUGGUCAUAUAGAUUUAUUCAAAUUAAAAAAAAUAACUUUUAACGAUGGAUCUCUUGGCUCUU
rnacentral:misc_RNA from 1 species